rfam:Microbacterium laevaniformans OR221 ctg212, whole genome shotgun sequence.
CGUGUUUUUCGCGAAGGAGCUCGACCGCCCCUGACCGAGAUGAUCCGGUUCAUCAAUGAGCACCGGGAUCAAUUCGGGGUCGAGCUCAUCUGCCGGGUCCUCCGACCGGCAGUUCCG